CUACUUAAUUGACAUAAAGCAAGAGGUCUUUUACUCUAUAAAAUGAUCAAACUAUUUUAUAUUUUUUACAUGUAAAGGUGAAAAAAUGGUUAAAACUCUCAUGUUUGUUUAUAAUGUGAUUCUUUUUGUUUUCCUAUAUCUUGUUCUAACCUUUGGUAAAAAAGAAUGUGUUCGUGACUCCGAUUGUCUUACGUUAUAUCCGGAUAAUCCUAGUGGAGCACAGGUGUGCUUCAAGGGUAUCUGUAAAAAUCUAUUCCCACCAUACAAUUGAGAAGUAGUAUCAAGACAUUUGUCCACAAGAAUAAAGUGAAGAGUUAUAUUCUCUCUUCUAAGACAUGUUGUUCUUUAAUAUUUGUUAAAUUAUUUUUUAUGUUUAAAUUUGGUUGUAAUCUCUGAUAUUGUAACAUCAGAGUCGAGUUUAAUAAAAUAUUUGGUCAUGAUUUA